UACGAAGGGGGCUAGCGUUGCUCGGAAUCACUGGGCGUAAAGGGCGUGUAGGCGGUCUCGUAUGUCUGACGUGAAAGCCCCGGGCUCAACCUGGGAAUGGCAGUGGAAACUAGGGGACUUGAAUCUGGCAGAGGGGGGUGGAAUUCCACGUGUAGCAGUGAAAUGCGUAGAGAUGUGGAGGAACACCGAUGGCGAAGGCAGCCCCCUGGGCUGAGAUUGACGCUCAGGCACGAAAGCGUGGGGAGCGAACAGG
rnacentral:rRNA from 1 species